UACGGAGGAUGCAAGCAUUAUCCGGAAUGAUUGGGCGUAAAGCGUCCGCAGGUGGCUAUGUAAGUCUGCUGUUAAAGAGUCUGGCUCAACCAGAUAAAGGCAGUGGAAACUACAUGGCUAGAGUGCGUUCGGGGCAGAGGGAAUUCCUGGUGUAGCGGUGAAAUGCGUAGAGAUCAGGAAGAACACCGGUGGCGAAAGCGCUCUGCUAGGCCGCAACUGACACUGAGGGACGAAAGCUAGGGGAGCGAAUGGG
rnacentral:rRNA from 1 species